UUUCCACAUUGACUGUCCCUCCUAGGGGUU
rnacentral:piRNA from 1 species